rnacentral:rRNA from 1 species
CUACGGGGGGCUGCAGUGAGGAAUAUUGCACAAUGGGGGGAACCCUGAUGCAGCAACGCCGCGUGGAGGAUGACGCAUUUCGGUGUUUACCCUCCUUGUAUAUGUCAAGAAAAUGACGGUAGCAUAUGAAUAAGCACCGGCUAACUCCGUGCCAGCAGCCGCGGUAAUACGGAGGGUGCAAGCGUUACUCGGAAUCACUGGGCGUAAAGGACGCGUAGGCGGGUUGGAAAGUCAGGUGUGAAAUCCUACAGCUUAACUGUAGAACUGCACUUGAAACUUCUAAUCUAGAGUAUGGGAGGGGGAGAUGGAAUUAGUGGUGUAGGGGUAAAAUCCGUAGAUAUCACUAGGAAUACCUAAAGCGAAGGCGAUCUCCUGGAACAUUACUGACGCUAAGGCGUGAAAGCGUGGGGAGCAAACAGGAUUAGAUACCCCCGUAGUC